GACGAACGCUGUCGGCGUGCUUAACACAUGCAAGUCGAACGGAAAGGCCCUGCUUUUGUGGGGUGCUCGAGUGGCGAACGGGUGAGUAACACGUGAGUAACCUGCCCUUGACUUUGGGAUAACUUCAGGAAACUGGGGCUAAUACCGGAUAGGAGCUCCUGCUGCAUGGUGGGGGUUGGAAAGUUUCGGCGGUUGGGGAUGGACUCGCGGCUUAUCAGCUUGUUGGUGGGGUAGUGGCUUACCAAGGCUUUGACGGGUAGCCGGCCUGAGAGGGUGACCGGCCACAUUGGGACUGAGAUACGGCCCAGACUCCUACGGGAGGCAGCAGUGGGGAAUAUUGCACAAUGGGCGGAAGCCUGAUGCAGCAACGCCGCGUGCGGGAUGACGGCCUUCGGGUUGUAAACCGCUUUCGCCUGUGACGAAGCGUGAGUGACGGUAAUGGGUAAAGAAGCACCGGCUAACUACGUGCCAGCAGCCGCGGUGAUACGUAGGGUGCGAGCGUUGUCCGGAUUUAUUGGGCGUAAAGGGCUCGUAGGUGGUUGAUCGCGUCGGAAGUGUAAUCUUGGGGCUUAACCCUGAGCGUGCUUUCGAUACGGGUUGACUUGAGGAAGGUAGGGGAGAAUGGAAUUCCUGGUGGAGCGGUGGAAUGCGCAGAUAUCAGGAGGAACACCAGUGGCGAAGGCGGUUCUCUGGGCCUUUCCUGACGCUGAGGAGCGAAAGCGUGGGGAGCGAACAGGCUUAGAUACCCUGGUAGUCCACGCUGUAAACGGUGGGUACUAGGUGUGGGGUCCAUUCCACGGGUUCCGUGCCGUAGCUAACGCUUUAAGUACCCCGCCUGGGGAGUACGGCCGCAAGGCUAAAACUCAAAGGAAUUGACGGGGCCCCGCACAAGCGGCGGAGCAUGCGGAUUAAUUCGAUGCAACGCGUAGAACCUUACCUGGGUUUGACAUGGAUCGGGAGUGCUCAGAGAUGGGUGUGCCUCUUUUGGGGUCGGUUCACAGGUGGUGCAUGGCUGUCGUCAGCCCGUGUCGUGAGAUGUUGGGUUAAGUCCCGCAACGAGCGCAACCCUUGUUCACUGUUGCCAACACGUUAUGGUGGGGACUCAGUGGAGACCGCCGGGGUCAACUCGGAGGAAGGUGGGGAUGACGUCAAGUCAUCAUGCCCCUUAUGUCCAGGGCUUCACGCAUGCUACAAUGGCUGGUACAGAGAGUGGCGAGCCUGUGAGGGUGAGCGAAUCUCGGAAAGCCGGUCUCAGUUCGGAUUGGGGUCUGCAACUCGACCUCAUGAAGUCGGAGUCGCUAGUAAUCGCAGAUCAGCAACGCUGCGGUGAAUACGUUCCCGGGGCU
rnacentral:rRNA from 1 species